UGGGGAAUUUUGCGCAAUGGGGGAAACCCUGACGCAGCAACGCCGCGUGAGUGAUGAAGGCCUUCGGGUCGUAAAGCUCUGUCAGAGGGGAAGAAGUGUGGGGUGGCUAAUAUCCAUUUCACUUGACGGUACCUUCAAAGGAAGCACCGGCUAACUCCGUGCCAGCAGCCGCGGUAAUACGGAGGGUGCGAGCGUUGUUCGGAAUUAUUGGGCGUAAAGCGCGUGUAGGCGGUUUUUUAAGCUGAUGUGAAAGCCCUGGCUCAACCGGGGAAUUGCGUUCGAUACUGGGAGGCUUGAGUCCUGGAGAGGGUGGCGGAAUUCCGGGGUGUAGGAGUGAAAUCCGUAGAUAUCCGGAGGAACACCGGUGGCGAAGGCGGCCACCUGGACAGGUACUGACGCUGA
rnacentral:rRNA from 1 species